CAUCGACUGGGACGAGGAGGAGGAGGAGGAGGUGCGGUGGGUCGGCGGCGCGCCGGGGAGCCCCUCCACCUUCCCCCGCACCGCGUCCCCCUGCAGCACCCCGCGGCACGGAGCGUCGCCGCCCCGCGGCACCAGGUCCCCCGAGGGCAGCCCCACGGCCGUGGGGCGCCUGCGCCGCACCCUCACCUUCGAGGAGGAGCCGGAGGCCGGCGGCGCCCAAUAAAACCCCACGGCUCCGCCCCCACGGCUCCGCUUUAUUGGCUGCGCUGGGCGCUGAUUGGACGGCGCGGUGGCGGGGAGGAGCGCUGAUUGGCCGGCGGGGCGGCAGCGAGAGUUGUGACUGGCCGGUUGGAAACGCGACGCUUGCGGGCUGGAGAUGGGGGUUGGCUGGUGGGAGGGCAGCGAGGGCUCUGAUUGGCUGGUGA
rnacentral:lncRNA from 1 species